rnacentral:rRNA from 1 species
GGGUUGUGAGGUUAAGCGACUAAGCGUACACGGUGGAUGCCCUGGCAGUCAGAGGCGAUGAAGGACGUGCUAAUCUGCGAUAAGCGUCGGUAAGGUGAUAUGAACCGUUAUAACCGGCGAUUUCCGAAUGGGGAAACCCAGUGUGUUUCGACACACUAUCAUUAACUGAAUCCAUAGGUUAAUGAGGCGAACCGGGGGAACUGAAACAUCUAAGUACCCCGAGGAAAAGAAAUCAACCGAGAUUCCCCCAGUAGCGGCGAGCGAACGGGGAGCAGCCCAGAGCCUGAAUCAGUGUGUGUGUUAGUGGAAGCGUCUGGAAAGGCGCGCGAUACAGGGUGACAGCCCCGUACACAAAAAUGCACAUGCUGUGAGCUCGAUGAGUAGGGCGGGACACGUGGUAUCCUGUCUGAAUAUGGGGGGACCAUCCUCCAAGGCUAAAUACUCCUGACUGACCGAUAGUGAACCAGUACCGUGAGGGAAAGGCGAAAAGAACCCCGGCGAGGGGAGUGAAAAAGAACCUGAAACCGUGUACGUACAAGCAGUGGGAGCACGCUUAGGCGUGUGACUGCGUACCUUUUGUAUAAUGGGUCAGCGACUUAUAUUCUGUAGCAAGGUUAACCGAAUAGGGGAGCCGAAGGGAAACCGAGUCUUAACUGGGCGUUAAGUUGCAGGGUAUAGACCCGAAACCCGGUGAUCUAGCCAUGGGCAGGUUGAAGGUUGGGUAACACUAACUGGAGGACCGAACCGACUAAUGUUGAAAAAUUAGCGGAUGACUUGUGGCUGGGGGUGAAAGGCCAAUCAAACCGGGAGAUAGCUGGUUCUCCCCGAAAGCUAUUUAGGUAGCGCCUCGUGAAUUCAUCUCCGGGGGUAGAGCACUGUUUCGGCAAGGGGGUCAUCCCGACUUACCAACCCGAUGCAAACUGCGAAUACCGGAGAAUGUUAUCACGGGAGACACACGGCGGGUGCUAACGUCCGUCGUGAAGAGGGAAACAACCCAGACCGCCAGCUAAGGUCCCAAAGUCAUGGUUAAGUGGGAAACGAUGUGGGAAGGCCCAGACAGCCAGGAUGUUGGCUUAGAAGCAGCCAUCAUUUAAAGAAAGCGUAAUAGCUCACUGGUCGAGUCGGCCUGCGCGGAAGAUGUAACGGGGCUAAACCAUGCACCGAAGCUGCGGCAGCGACGCUUAUGCGUUGUUGGGUAGGGGAGCGUUCUGUAAGCCUGUGAAGGUGUGCUGUGAGGCAUGCUGGAGGUAUCAGAAGUGCGAAUGCUGACAUAAGUAACGAUAAAGCGGGUGAAAAGCCCGCUCGCCGGAAGACCAAGGGUUCCUGUCCAACGUUAAUCGGGGCAGGGUGAGUCGACCCCUAAGGCGAGGCCGAAAGGCGUAGUCGAUGGGAAACAGGUUAAUAUUCCUGUACUUGGUGUUACUGCGAAGGGGGGACGGAGAAGGCUAUGUUGGCCGGGCGACGGUUGUCCCGGUUUAAGCGUGUAGGCUGGUUUUCCAGGCAAAUCCGGAAAAUCAAGGCUGAGGCGUGAUGACGAGGCACUACGGUGCUGAAGCAACAAAUGCCCUGCUUCCAGGAAAAGCCUCUAAGCAUCAGGUAACAUCAAAUCGUACCCCAAACCGACACAGGUGGUCAGGUAGAGAAUACCAAGGCGCUUGAGAGAACUCGGGUGAAGGAACUAGGCAAAAUGGUGCCGUAACUUCGGGAGAAGGCACGCUGAUAUGUAGGUGAGGUCCCUCGCGGAUGGAGCUGAAAUCAGUCGAAGAUACCAGCUGGCUGCAACUGUUUAUUAAAAACACAGCACUGUGCAAACACGAAAGUGGACGUAUACGGUGUGACGCCUGCCCGGUGCCGGAAGGUUAAUUGAUGGGGUUAGCGCAAGCGAAGCUCUUGAUCGAAGCCCCGGUAAACGGCGGCCGUAACUAUAACGGUCCUAAGGUAGCGAAAUUCCUUGUCGGGUAAGUUCCGACCUGCACGAAUGGCGUAAUGAUGGCCAGGCUGUCUCCACCCGAGACUCAGUGAAAUUGAACUCGCUGUGAAGAUGCAGUGUACCCGCGGCAAGACGGAAAGACCCCGUGAACCUUUACUAUAGCUUGACACUGAACAUUGAGCCUUGAUGUGUAGGAUAGGUGGGAGGCUUAGAAGUGUGGACGCCAGUCUGCAUGGAGCCGACCUUGAAAUACCACCCUUUAAUGUUUGAUGUUCUAACGUUGACCCGUAAUCCGGGUUGCGGACAGUGUCUGGUGGGUAGUUUGACUGGGGCGGUCUCCUCCUAAAGAGUAACGGAGGAGCACGAAGGUUGGCUAAUCCUGGUCGGACAUCAGGAGGUUAGUGCAAUGGCAUAAGCCAGCUUGACUGCGAGCGUGACGGCGCGAGCAGGUGCGAAAGCAGGUCAUAGUGAUCCGGUGGUUCUGAAUGGAAGGGCCAUCGCUCAACGGAUAAAAGGUACUCCGGGGAUAACAGGCUGAUACCGCCCAAGAGUUCAUAUCGACGGCGGUGUUUGGCACCUCGAUGUCGGCUCAUCACAUCCUGGGGCUGAAGUAGGUCCCAAGGGUAUGGCUGUUCGCCAUUUAAAGUGGUACGCGAGCUGGGUUUAGAACGUCGUGAGACAGUUCGGUCCCUAUCUGCCGUGGGCGCUGGAGAACUGAGGGGGGCUGCUCCUAGUACGAGAGGACCGGAGUGGACGCAUCACUGGUGUUCGGGUUGUCAUGCCAAUGGCACUGCCCGGUAGCUAAAUGCGGAAGAGAUAAGUGCUGAAAGCAUCUAAGCACGAAACUUGCCCCGAGAUGAGUUCUCCCUGACUCCUUGAGAGUCCUGAAGGAACGUUGAAGACGACGACGUUGAUAGGCCGGGUGUGUAAGCGCAGCGAUGCGUUGAGCUAACCGGUACUAAUGAACCGUGAGGCUUAACCUUACAACGCCGAAG